rnacentral:rRNA from 1 species
GACGAACGCUGGCGGCGUGCUUAACACAUGCAAGUCGAACGGAAAGGCCCUGCUUUCGUGGUGUGCUCGAGUGGCGAACGGGUGAGUAACACGUGAGUAACCUGCCCUUGACUUUGGGAUAACUUCAGGAAACUGGGGCUAAUACCGGAUAGGAGCUCCUGUUGCAUGGUGGGGGUUGGAAAGUUUCGGCGGUUGGGGAUGGACUCGCGGCUUAUCAGCUUGUUGGUGGGGUAGUGGCUUACCAAGGCUUUGACGGGUAGCAGGCCUGAGAGGGUGACCGGCCACAUUGGGACUGAGAUACGGCCCAGACUCCUACGGGAGGCAGCAGUGGGGAAUAGUGCACAAUGGGCGGAAGCCUGAUGCAGCAACGCCGCGUGCGGGAUGACGGCCUUCGGGUUGUAAACCGCUUUCGCCUGUGACGAAGCGUGAGUGACGGUAAUGGGUAAAGAAGCACCGGCUAACUACGUG